UCCCGACUCUCAGCACACAUCGUUACGGUGACAAAUAUAUUUGGGUUUCCAUGUUGUACCUACAUUUUUAAACUAUUACAAGAGGUGGUUACAUCACGUGCGGUUAUGAUGAGGACGACAACAUCUAAUGCUGGCUUCAACUUGGCUUUGUAUACAAAGCCUUCCAUUACAAAAGGAACCUAAAAAAACAGCCAUGGUGAGAUUCAAAUGUUGAUUGGACGCCGUAUCCCUUGGUGAGGCGAUAGACGACGCCCACGCUGCACCCAUCAAUCUCCAGUGACGUCCCUUUGUCACACGCACCGCCAGCCACCGCCCACCCGAGCCACACAGCCAAUGAAAAUACAGCUUAGGUGAGAUGACAGAUGAAGUCCUAAUUGGGUUUUUCAAGAGGCUCCGGGCUGAGGCGUAUCAAAAGGUCCUGAUUCCUUUGUCUUCUCCUCGACCUGAGCCACCUGUGUGGACUGUAGUCUAAACGGUCUUUCCCAGGGUCUGUGCUUCUCUUUGCUAUUCCCUCUCCCAGGGCUGAGCUUGUCUUUCAUUACGUGGACCUGACACUGUCUGGAGGAGCCCACGUCUGUUUGUCACCGUCUAAUAGGGCCUAGCAAUCUACAAGGUGCACAUACACCUCCGAGUCUGUGUCUCUCUCUGGCAGUGGAGGAAGAGACCAAUCACGCUGUCGUACUUGCUUCAGUCUGGGGUACAGUUUCACUUGGUGUCUACGUCAAUGGUGGGGAUUGAAACAGACACCUAUGGACAAAUUCUGCCUAUGACUUACUGGACAGGAAUUGACCAAAGCUCACUAGGGUCUAGGAUGCUAGGUUGCUACCACUAGCCCCUAUCACUUCCAUUAGAAGCUAGUCUUCAGGUAUGGGUAAAUCAGGGUUAAUUGUUUCCCUGGUCUGUCUCUCCUGCUACAUUCAGUAGUGUUGCCUGGGUGGAUUUGCUCGAACACCAUUGUUCAACCUUCCCAAGUUCUCCCAUGUAGCCCCGCUCCUCCGCCGACUCCACUGGCUUCCAGUAGAACCUUGCAUCCACUACAAGACCAUGGUGCUUACCUACGGAGCAGCAAGAGGAACUUCCCCCUCCCGACCUUCAAACCCUACAAUCCCAACCCGAGCACUCCGUUCUGCCACCUCUGGUCUCUUGGCCGUCAUUUCGUAAUUGACUGGGCUGAGCUCCCACUCAGCCCAGUCACAGCUCUUCUCUGUCCUGGCACCCCAAUGGUGGAACCAGCUUCCCACUGAAGCUAGGACAGCAGAGUCCCUGCACAUCUUCCAAACACAUCUGAAACCCUACCUCUUCAUAGAGUAUCUUAAAUAAGACAUCUCAGGUUUAUUCAGAUGUCAUUGAGGACAACAUUACUAUGACUGUGAUGUGUGGUUGUCCUGCUAUCUUAAGAUGAAUGGACCAACUGUAAGUCAAUCUGGAUAAGAGAGUCUGCUAAAUAACUCCAUGUCAAAAUAUGAAAUGAGAUGGAAGGGAAAAUAAAGAUGCAGUAGAAGAGGGAGAUGGGAUGGAGAAAGAGGAUGUCAACGGGUGGAAAGAAAAAGGGUUGAGAGGGAUGAAGAGAAUAAAGGAAGAUAAUAAAUAGCCUGGUCUAAACCCUCUCAUUUCUGUCUCUCUGUGUGCCUGUCUGUCAGCAUCCUCUAGAUCGUCACAAUGCCAGGCCUACCCAGCACAGAGCAGCAAUAUUUUAUGAAUCUAUCGCUGCCUUAAUUUGACCCCCCCCCCCCAUCUUUAACCCAUGGAGGAAAUGAAAGAUGGAGAGAAUCAGAGGGAGGGGAGGACAAAAGGAAUCUGCAGAGGAGGUUUGAACAGGGAGUGGGAGUUGAGAAACCUGCUUCUGUGUGAGGAUGAUGAAAGGUGAAAAAGUCUGAUAGAUCUUUCUAAUUUAAAUGCACCCGUGUGUGUGUGUGUGU